AUUGAACGCUGGCGGCAGGCUUAACACAUGCAAGUCGAGCGGGGGAGGUUGCUUCGGUGACUGACCUAGCGGCGGACGGGUGAGUAAUACUUAGGAAUCUGCCUAUUAAUGGGGGACAACAUCUCGAAAGGGAUGCUAAUACCGCAUACGCCCUACGGGGGAAAGCAGGGGAUCACUUGUGACCUUGCGUUAAUAGAUGAGCCUAAGUCGGAUUAGCUAGUUGGUGGGGUAAAGGCCUACCAAGGCGACGAUCUGUAGCGGGUCUGAGAGGAUGAUCCGCCACACUGGGACUGAGACACGGCCCAGACUCCUACGGGAGGCAGCAGUGGGGAAUAUUGGACAAUGGGGGGAACCCUGAUCCAGCCAUGCCGCGUGUGUGAAGAAGGCCUUAUGGUUGUAAAGCACUUUAAGCGAGGAGGAGGCUCUUUUGGUUAAUACCCAAGAUGAGUGGACGUUACUCGCAGAAUAAGCACCGGCUAACUCUGUGCCAGCCGCCGCCGUAAUAC
rnacentral:rRNA from 1 species